rnacentral:rRNA from 1 species
AUUGAACGCUGGCGGCAGGCCUAACACAUGCAAGUCGAGCGGAUGAAGGGAGCUUGCUCCUGGAUUCAGCGGCCGACGGGUGAGUAAUUCCUAGGAAUCUGCCUGGCAGUUGGGGAUAACGUCCGGAAACGGGCGCUAAUACCGCAUACGUCCUGAGGGAGAAAGGGGGGGAUCUUCGGACCUCACGCUAUCAGAUGAGCCUAGGUCGGAUUAGCUAGUUGGUGGGGUAAAGGCCUACCAAGGCGACGAUCCGUAACUGGUCUGAGAGGAUGAUCAGCCACACUGGAACUGAGACACGGUCCAGACUCCUACGGGAGGCAGCAGUGGGGAAUAUUGGACAAUGGGCGAAAGCCUGAUCCAGCCAUGCCGCGUGUGUGAAGAAGGUCUUCGGAUUGUAAAGCACUUUAAGUUGGGAGGAAGGGCAGUAAGUUAAUACCUUGCUGUUUUGACGUUACCAACAGAAUAAGCACCGGCUAACUUCGUG